UUCCUAGUCCAUUAAUACAUUAAGUAGAACCUAUCUUAGCCGUUGGAUUACAUCUAAUGGAUGAGAUUCAAUCUUCAUUUUAAAACCUAAUCAGAUAACUAUCCCUUCAAAACAACCGUUUCUUACCACAUCCAUUAUCAGAAAAAUUCCAAAGAGUUUCAACACAAAAACAGAAGAGGUUUCACCAUUUCGGGCAUGACCUUCUCAUGCUAAUAAUGCUCUUUUUUAUUCAAGCUUAAAUUCUGAUUGGCGAGUUUAAACUCGAUUUUCUUUAUAAUUUUUUCUUUCGCCAUUUUAGUGUAAGAGCUUUAAUUGAUUUUGUCUUCUUCCAUCUUUUUUCUGAUCUUGUUACUGGUGAGUCCUUACAAAACUCUCAAACGUUCGGAUUUUGAACUGAGAUUUGACCAAGAUUUGGAUCAAAUCCCGCCCAAUACUUUGAAUCCUAGCAAACCCUAAUUUGUAUCUACAAAUACUAGCAUUUGGAGUCCAUUUGGACUAGGUUUUUCAGCCGUCCCAACCUUUGAGCCGCCGCCUCUCCCCCUCCAAACCUCCAAAAUACUCUGUUCGAUACUAUGUAUCUUUUAAAAUACUACCUUUAAAAAAAUCACAUUUUUCCUUCUGAUAUCUCUGUUGGUUUUUAACCGCGGAGGAGAGUUACUUAGCUUUUAAUUGUGUCAUGUUGUUUGUGAGGAAGGCCAGAGUACGUAGGAUCUAAAAGACCCCUGCCCCAUUCGCUGCACCCAUAAAAGAAGAAGACAAAGAUGGUGCAAUAUUAUGAGAUGGUGUUGCUGGGAUGCAUACAUGGACUUCAAGAUUGCAUGGAUAAUCUGCUAUAUCAUUAGUUAUUUAUUUACAAGUUUUAGAUCAUUUCUAGCAUAUUGUAGUAUCAGCCUUGGAUAUUUAUAUCCUAAGUUGAUCACUAGGUUUAUUUCUUGCUUUUUAUUAGCCAAUUUGGCUACAUUUGUAAAGACACUUUGCUCCUUUUGUUUUGAGAAAAAUAUAUAAAAUCAGCCCUAGGCCAAAAGCCUAGUGGACAUUAUUUUUUU